GUUUAGGGAAGAAGCUUGGCUUCACUAUAGACCUGGGGAAGCUUAAUUAUGUGUCUUUAGGACAGGGCCAGGAAUCAGUGGCUGAACUGGCAAUGGAUAAGGCUUUCAAAAGAGGGCCACUGGGUCAUUCUACAGUGGCUGGGCAGUCUCAAGGAGCUUCUAGAGCAUUGCUGUGAGAACAGUCACCAAGACUACAGAGUGUUUAUGAGUGCAGAACCUUCUCCAACCCCUCAGAUGCUGCCCCACGAAAGCCCUGUGCAUUACGGGCUGCAUCCAAACGCUGAAACUGAGUUUCUGACAGUGACAUCAGACAACCUCUUCCACACUCUGCUGAAGCUGCAGUCCCAAGACUCCAACAUGGGCGAAGGAGCCUCACAGACUACUGAAGAGAAGGUGAAAACCAUCUUGGAUGACAUCUUGGAGAAAUUACCCGAAGAGUACAACAUGUCUGACAUCUCAUCCAAAACAGCAGAGUGAUCGGCGUACAUUCUGGUGUGUUUCUAGGAGUGUGAGCGUAUGAACAUGCUUAUCUACUUGGGGCCGAAGGUGAGUGUGUGUGUAUGUUUGUAUUCUGUUCCAGCAGGUCUAAUCGGCCAAUGCACAACCUCGAGGAGAUUUUUAGCAGUCUGCCUUUAAACAAAGUUGUAUUUACCUGGAUCUGAGUUGCUACAAUAGGUGCUUUCGAAGAAAGUACUAAUCACUGCAUUUGCCAAAAAUUGCCAGGUCUGUGGCAUCAAAUCUUUGAAAGGAAUUCAUAGUAAAAAUCUAGUUUACUUAAUAAAAAGUAAACUAGAUAUUCACAGGCAUAACUGUAUAUUCCACUUUGUUUUCCACUGUUUUUUUAUGAAACAUCUUUUUAAUUUUGAACAGACAAAUUCUGAUCACAAGUCUACACACAUUUGUCACAAAUUGCUUUGGUACAGACGUUCACUGAGACUGCUGCACGAUUUGAAUUUUUCCACACUGGUCUAUUAGUGUGGUGUCAUUGAUUUCGAAUGGCAUGCCAAAACAAAAUUAAUUUUGGUUGCUUUACAUGUUGAUCAGAUCCUGACUAAGAGGAAUAUUCCAGGUUCAAUACAAGUUAAGCUCAAUCAACUGCAUUUGUGGCAUAAUAUUAAUUUUGACUUAUUCCUCCUUUUCUUUAAAAAAGCAAAAAUGGAGGUUACAGUGAGGCACUUACAGUGGAAGUGAAUGAGGCCAAUUUUUGAAGGGUUUAAAGGCAGAAAUGUGAAGCUUAUAAUUCUAUAAAAGCACUUACAUUCAUUCUUCUGUUAAAACUCGUGUAUUAUUUGAGCUGUAAAGUUGUUUAAAUUUUAAUUAUUACAGUCCUUUUAGGAUUUUAUGGUUUGUUGACAUUACAUCGUCAUGGUAACGAAGUUGUAAAAUUGGCUAUAACUUUACACAGAAAAGGUUGGUAAGCUAUUUUAUCAUUCUAAAAUCAUGUUUACACGCAUAUUGUUUAUGUCUUGUGGUUAUACUUGUGAAACAGUGAUUAUUUAACGUUCAAAAAUUUGCCCCCAUUCACUUCCAUUGUAAGUGCCUCACUGUAACCUCGAUUUCUGUUU